rnacentral:rRNA from 1 species
GAUGAACGCUGGCGGCAUGCCUUACACAUGCAAGUCGAACGGCAGCACGGGGGCAACCCUGGUGGCGAGUGGCGAACGGGUGAGUACUGCAUCGGAACGUACCCAGUAGUGGGGGAUAACCAGUCGAAAGAUUGGCUAAUACCGCAUAUUCACUGAGGUGGAAAGCGGGGGAUCGCAAGACCUCGCGCUAUUGGAGCGGCCGAUGUCCGAUUAGGUAGUUGGUGGGGUAAAAGCCUACCAAGCCGACGAUCGGUAACUGGUCUGAGAGGACGACCAGUCACACUGGGACUGAGACACGGCCCAGACUCCUACGGGAGGCAGCAGUGGGGGAA